UACGUAGGGGGCAAGCGUUGUCCGGAAUCAUUGGGCGUAAAGAGUGUGUAGGCGGUCCGGUAAGUCGGCUGUGAAAGUCCAAGGCUCAACCUUGGGAUGCCGGUCGAUACUGCCGGACUAGAGUUCGGAAGAGGCGAGUGGAAUUCUCGGUGUAGCGGUGAAAUGCGUAGAUAUCGAGAGGAACACCUGCGGCGAAGGCGGGUUGCUGGGCUGACACUGACGCUGAUGCGCGAAAGCCAGGGGAGCGAACGGG
rnacentral:rRNA from 1 species